AUUGAACGCUGGCGGCAUGCCUUACACAUGCAAGUCGAACGGUAACGGGCCUUCGGGUGCCGACGAGUGGCGAACGGGUGAGUAAUGUAUCGGAACGUACCUUUCAGUGGGGGAUAACGUAGCGAAAGUUACGCUAAUACCGCAUAUUCUGUGCGCAGGAAAGCAGGGGAUCGCAAGACCUUGCGCUGAUUGAGCGGCCGAUAUCAGAUUAGCUAGUUGGUGAGGUAAAGGCUCAACAAGGCGACGAUCUGUAGCGGGUCUGAGAGGAUGAUCCGCCACACUGGAACUGGAACACGGUCCAGACUCCUACGGGAGGCAGCAGUGGGGAAUUUUGGACAAUGGGGGCAACCCUGAUCCAGCCAUGCCGCGUGAGUGAAGAAGGCCUUCGGGUUGUAAAGCUCUUUCGGCCGGGAAGAAAUCGCACGGGCUAAUACCCUGUGUGGAUGACGGUACCGGAAUAAGAAGCACCGGCUAACUACGUGCCAGCCGCCGCCGUAAGAC
rnacentral:rRNA from 1 species